UCCUCACAGAUUUGAUUACUGGAAACAGCUGCUGUGUAGAAAUGAUCUGAGUGGUCGAUGUUACUGGGAGGUCGAGUGGAGCGGAGAUGUUUCUAUAUCAGUGAGUUACAGAGGAAUCAGAAGGAAAGGAGACAGCGAGGAGUGUUGGUUUGGAAGGAAUCAUCAGUCAUGGAGUCUGGACUGCUGGAGUGGACGUUACUAUGUCUGUCACAAUGACAGAGUAACAUGCCUCUCCUCCUCCUCCUCCUCCUCCUCCUCCUCCUCUGGUAGAGUAGCAGUGUAUGUGGACUGUCCUGCUGGCUCUCUGUCCUUCUUCAGAGUCUCCUCUGACUCUCUGAUCCACCUCUACACCUUCAACACCACAUUCACUGAGCCUCUAUAUGCUGGAUUAGGAUUCCUCUGGCCUGGUUCUUCAGUGAGUCUGUGUCCUCUGUAGGAGGGGCGUCUCUGUCUCUGACAGCAGGGAGGAGGAGGAGCCUGUCAGAAGGUGAGAGGGGCCAAUCAGGGGGUGGGAGGAGUUUAGCUCCACUGAAGAUGUGAUUUCUUCUGUGUUCCAUCUGGUGUUUGUUGUGGUUUCAUUGUUGUGGUGUUUCUUGAAAUGUUCCAUCAUAAAGUAAUAAAAGUCGAUCACUGACA